GACGAACCGUGCGAACGUUAUUCGGAAUCACUGGGCUUAAAGCGCGCGUAGGCGGCUUUGCAAGUCGGGUGUGAAAUCCCCAGGCUUAACCUGGGAACUGCAUUCGAGACUGCAUUGCUAGAGUAUGGGAGAGGGAAGUGGAAUUUCCGGUGUAGCGGUGAAAUGCGUAGAUAUCGGAAGGAACAUCAGUGGCGAAAGCGACUUCCUGGACCAAUACUGACGCUCAUGUGCGAAAGCGUGGGGAGCAAACAGG
rnacentral:rRNA from 1 species